UACGGAGGGGGCUAGCGUUGUUCGGAAUUACUGGGCGUAAAGCGCACGUAGGCGGCUUUGCAAGUCAGAGGUGAAAGCCCGGGGCUCAACCCCGGAAUUGCCUUUGAGACUGCAUCGCUAGAAUUGUGGAGAGGUAAGUGGAAUUCCGAGCGUAGAGGUGAAAUUCGUAGAUAUUCGGAAGAGCACCAGUGGCGAAGGCGGCAUCCUGGACCAACACUGACACUGAGGAGCGAAAGCCAGGGGAGCAAACGGG
rnacentral:rRNA from 1 species